rnacentral:rRNA from 1 species
CACGUGCUACAAUGGCAUAUACAAAGAGAAGCGACCUCGCGAGAGCAAGCGGACCUCAUAAAGUAUGUCGUAGUCCGGAUUGGAGUCUGCAACUCGACUCCAUGAAGUCGGAAUCGCUAGUAAUCGUAGAUCAGAAUGCUACGGUGAAUACGUUCCCGGGCCUUGUACACACCGCCCGUCACACCAUGGGAGUGGGUUGCAAAAGAAGUAGGUAGCUUAACCUUCGGGAGGGCGCUUACCACUUUGUGAUUCAUGACUGGGGUGAAGUCGUAACAAGGUAACCGUAGGGGAACCUGCGGUUGGAUCACCUCCUUACCUUAAAGAA